rnacentral:rRNA from 1 species
CCUACGGGAGGCUGCAGUGAGGAAUAUUGGUCAAUGGACGAGAGUCUGAACCAGCCAAGUAGCGUGAAGGAUGACUGCCCUAUGGGUUGUAAACUUCUUUUAUAUGGGAAUAAAAUGUUCCACGUGUGGGAUUUUGUAUGUACCAUAUGAAUAAGGAUCGGCUACCUCCGUGCCAGCAGCCGCGGUAAUACGGAGGAUCCGAGCGUUAUCCGGAUUUAUUGGGUUUAAAGGGAGCGUAGGUGGAUUGUUAAGUCAGCUGUGAAAGUUUGCGGCUCAACCGUAAAAUUGCAGUUGAAACUGGCAGUCUUGAGUACAGUAGAGGUGGGCGGAAUUCGUGGUGUAGCGGUGAAAUGCUUAGAUAUCACGCAGAACUCCGAUUGCGAAGGCAGUUCACUGGACUGCAACUGACACUGAGGCUCGAAAGUGUGGGUAUCAAACAGGAUUAGAUACCCUUGUAGUC